AGAACGAACGCUGGCGGCAUGCCUAAUACAUGCAAGUCGAACGAACACUUCGGUGUUAGUGGCGCACGGGUGCGUAACGCGUGGGAAUCUGCCCUUGGGUUCGGAAUAACAGUUGGAAACGACUGCUAAUACCGGAUGAUAUCGAAAGAUCAAAGAUUUAUCGCCCAGGGAUGAGCCCGCGUAGGAUUAGCUAGUUGGUGAGGUAAAGGCUCACCAAGGCACGAUCCUUAGCUGGCCUGAGAGGAUGAUCCAGCCACACUGGGGACUGAGACACGGCCCAGACUCCUACGGGAGGCAGCAGUAGGGAAUAUUGGACAA
rnacentral:rRNA from 1 species